rnacentral:lncRNA from 1 species
CAGGAAGAGGAGGAUUCCCCUGACACAAGGCUGCAGGGCUCACAAGCACUGACAAUUCACUCAUCAGUUUCAGGACCCAUGAAGACAGAGCCACAGAUUCCCCUGAACAGAAUGGCAAUUUUCGUGUGGUGUUAAUUUCCGUGGAAGAAGAAAAGGCUCGACUCUCUGUCCUAUUUUUCAUGAAUACUGGAAGUAGGGAAUAAACCUGGAGUCUCACGGGUGAAAAGAGACAUUUCCAUAUCACCAGACCACAAACGUGGGUGUUGAUUCUAAGGAUACCCCCAAUAAACAUCUUUCGUGCUAAAGCCCAUUCCAGAAUUUACUUCCCAGCUAUCUUUGAUGUUCAUAUUGUCAGAGGUGGUGGCCGCUGAAACAGGCAAAGACAUGGAGCAUAUCUUGGGUCCAGGUAAAGGAGGUGGGUGCACACAAGUGAAAAGAUGUUGCUGAAGUCACGUGGCUUCAAGCAGUAGAGCUGACUGUCCUCUAGUCCAGUUGUCCCUACAGGAUAAAAGCUUCUCUCCAUUACAGAGACCUUGGGAGUCCAGAGGAAGGUCUUUUUACCAUCAGCAUUCUCUACUGUGUUCAAUGACUGUCAGCCAAAGAUGGCCAGCUUUCCUUCAGAAAGAAAUGCAUUCAAAGAACCUACAUUCACAACAUAAAGAAAUAAAGCACACACAAGACCGCCAAGCAUUAAGAUUCUCCUGUGGAGCCAGGCUACAAUCCUUUAAAUGAAGACAGACAGCUAGGUGGCUGCAGCCCAGCGCUACACCUCACCCCUCCCUCAGUGUCAUGCAGAAAAAAUGUAUUCAGAACUCAGAAGUGAAGUUGUGCAAAUCCAUCAUUGACACUAGCUUCAAGGUUACCUCGGGGGAGCAGAAUGUACCCCUGCCAGAGAGCUGGAUAGAUGAUGAUGGGGACAGAAAUUCUGGGGGAGUUGUAAAUGGCAGCCACUGCCUCUAUAGGAAACCCAAAGGGAACACAGCAGAAGAGGAGGUGGUGGAGGAGCCACUGCCCUCUCGAAGGGUUCAAUGUCAUUCUGCAGACACAACCAAAUAACUUUUUCUUCCCUGCUGCUCCUCCAUUUGAAAUGACAGCCCCGAGCUCGCUUUUUCCUUGAUUGUGUAACUCUGAUUACAGACAAGGCCAAGGCAAUCCCAGGGCAUUACUACAAAGCUAAGGGGUCCCCAAAGAACUAAAGAGUCAGCUCCACAAAAAUCCCGAUUCCUAGCAUGAAACUGAAAUAUGAAACCAAACGGGCAUAGAAAAGGUAUGUGCAUUCGAAUCACAUAGCAGUGACUGGAGUCCUGAGCUGUGUCUGAAGACUGUGAGAUCACGUUUGGAGCUGCUGAUUGGUUUUCAGUGAUGGCCCUGUUGCACAGUGCCGUGAGACUUAGCUCCAUGGCCAAAGACGAUGGUAUCCCCUAGGAGCCCUGUGAGGUUGCUGCUGUUCUCUUAAGACACCAGGUAGCCAUCUGAUCCUCCCUGAGCAAACUAACUGGGCAGACAGGUUUAUUAAACCUCUGUUGGUCCGACUUACAUGAAACAAGAGAGUUAUUUUGUUGUUGUUGUUUUGUUUUGUUUUAAAUUAAACCUGUCUUUGGAGCCUCCUGCUCUUAGUUUACAAGUCUUCUUUGCACACUCUAAUAUUUUAAGAAGCAGCAAACAUUAACUGAGGGUCUA